ensembl:snRNA U6 U6 spliceosomal RNA
GUGCUCGCUUCAGCAGCACAUGUACUAAAAUCGGAACAAUACAGAGAAGAUUUAGCAUGGCCCCUGCGCACGUUUUAAACAAGCAAACGCAGAGCUGGGUGUCUAGUAU